AUUGAACGCUGGCGGAAUGCUUUACACAUGCAAGUCGAACGGCAGCACGGGGCAACCUGGUGGCGAGUGGCGAACGGGUGAGUAAUACAUCGGAACGUGCCCAAUCGUGGGGGAUAACGUAGCGAAAGUUACGCUAAUACCGCAUACGAUCUACGGAUGAAAGCGGGGGAUCGCAAGACCUCGCGCGAGUGGAGCGGCCGAUGUCAGAUUAGGUAGUUGGUGGGGUAAAGGCUCACCAAGCCAACGAUCUGUAGCUGGUCUGAGAGGACGACCAGCCACACUGGAACUGAGACACGGUCCAGACUCCUACGGGAGGCAGCAGUGGGGAAUUUUGGACAAUGGGCGCAAGCCUGAUCCAGCCAUUCCGCGUGCAGGAUGAAGGCCUUCGGGUUGUAAACUGCUUUGUUACGGAACGAAACGGCGAGCUCUAAUACAGUUUGCUAAUGACGGUACCGUAAGAAUAAGACACCGGCUAACUACGUAGCCAGCAGCCGCGGUAA
rnacentral:rRNA from 1 species